GACGAACGCUGGCGGCGUGCCUAAUACAUGCAAGUCGAACGCUGAAGAGAGGAGCUUGCUCUUCUUGGUUGAGUUGCGAACGGGUGAGUAACGCGUAGGUAACCUGCCUUGUAGCGGGGGAUAACUAUUGGAAACGAUAGCUAAUACCGCAUAACAAUUGAUGACCCAUUUCAUUUAUUUGAAAUGGGCAAAUGCUCCACUACAAGAUGGACCUGCGUUGUAUUAGCUAGUAGGUGAGGUAACGGCUCACCUAGGCGACGAUACAUAGCCGACCUGAGAGGGGGAUCGGCCACGCUGGGACGGGGACACGGCCCAGAAUCCUACGGGAGGCAGCAGUAGGGGAUCUUCGGCAAUGGGGGCAACCCUGACCGAGCAACGCCGCGUGAGUGAAGAAGGUUUUCGGAUCGUAAAGCUCUGUUGUACGUCAAGAACGAGUGUGAGAGUGGAAAGUUCACACUGUGACGGUAGCUGAACAGAAAGGGACGGCUAACUACGUG
rnacentral:rRNA from 1 species